CCAAUUUCUCAAUAGUUUAAUUUCAAUAACAUCUCAGUAGAUUUGCAUAGUCUACCUUAACUUGUUCAAAGAAGUCAAUUGCUCCAUCCCCUUUCCAAAUCAAUUUACAGGGAAGCUGAUAGCGCAUUGGACGAGGAUGGUACAGCUAACAAAAAUGGCAAGCGACAGCUCAAGCUCAGCAGUCUUGGCUUCACAGGAGGCAGGAGAAAUAGUGAGGAGAUUGAGUCCAGUGGUAAAGGGCGCUACACGUUUUUCCAGAACCGCAAGCUUGAACAGCUUACACAAUUCUAAAUUAGCAUAAGGAAACUCCAUCAAGUAACAUCAGCAGUUAAAACUAGGUGAAUCAGCCUUAUUGAUCUUAUUGCAAUGUGAAGAGAUAAACAAGUUGAUGUCGGAAGAGAGUUUGAAAGGGAACGAAAAUAACUUAAGAGUUCUUUGUCACAGUUUGGGUUUUCAAAACUCCAAGGGAGGGGCCCUUUACCAAAAAGGAGUUGGAUGAAGUUCGAGACAAGUGGGCUAUUUACUUCAACAAUUGUGAAGUACCCUCAGUGUAAUAAAUAGAGAAGGCUUGUAGUUAUUCGUGACUCUUACAUUAUUUUGUUAUUUAUCGAUUUUAUUAAUUACAUUUGAAUUAAUUCGGUAAUAUUAUUGGAAAUUUGAAAUUUAUAUCAUUUUUGAGAAUGUCAAGCUGAUGUUUGAUGAAACAUAAAUUAUAUUGCAAAAUCAAAAAUUAUAC